GACAGAGGGGGCAAGCGUUGCUCGGAAUUACUGGGCGUAAAGGGCGCGUAGGCGGGAUGGCAAGUCGGUCGUGAAAUCCUUCGGCUCAACCGAAGAACGUCGAUCGAUACUGCUGUUCUUAAGGGUUGCAGAGGAGACUGGAAUUCCCGGUGUAGCGGUGAAAUGUGUAGAGAUCGGGAGGAACACCGGUGGCGAAGGCGGGUCUCUGGGCAAUUCCUGACGCUGAGGCGCGAAAGCGUGGGGAGCGAACAGG
rnacentral:rRNA from 1 species